rnacentral:misc_RNA from 1 species
UCACUGCUUGCGCAGGCAGUCUCUUUAGAGUCCCCAGCUUAACCUGAUGGCAACUAAAGAUAGGGGUUGCGCUCGUUGCGGGACUUAACCCAACACCUCACGGCACGAGCUGACGACGGCCAUGCAGCACCUUGCUUUGUGUCCCGAAGGAAAGAUCCAUCUCUGGAUCGGUCACUCACAUUCAAGCCCAGGUAAGGUUCCUCGCGUAUCAUCGAAUUAAACCACAUGCUCCUCCGCUUGUGCGGGCCCCCGUCAAUUCCUUUGAGUUUCAAUCUUGCGAUCGUACUCCCCAGGUGGAAUACUUAACGCUUUCGCUUAGACGCGUACAGUGUAUCGCACACAUCGAGUAUUCAACGUUUACAGCGUGGACUAC